AAUAAAUAUAGUUUUACACUGUUCACAUUCAAUGUUUGACCGUUCAUCUUAGUUAAAAAAAAUUUAUGAUUAGUAUUUUUAUUGCCAUUAGAUGAUAAAACAUAAAUAGUACUUUAUGCGUAACUAAAUAUUUUUUAAAUUUUUCACAAAUAUUUUAAAUAAGACGGACAGUCAAACGUUGGGCACGGAUAUCGCUGUAUUUAUU
rnacentral:pre_miRNA from 1 species